rnacentral:rRNA from 1 species
UACGGAGGGGGCAAGCGUUGUCCGGACUUACUGGGCGUAAAGGGUGCGUAGGCGGCCUGCUGCGUCGGUGCUGAAAGCGCCCGGCUUAACCGGGCGAGGCGUGCCGAUACGAGCGGGCUGGAGCCUUGGCGAGGGUGGCGGAACUCCUGGUGUGAGUGGUGAAAUGCGUAGAGAUCAGGAAGAACACCCGUGGCGCAAGCGG